rnacentral:rRNA from 1 species
GAUGAACGCUGGCGGCGUGCCUAAUACAUGCAAGUCGAGCGAACAGAUGAGGAGCUUGCUCCUCUGACGUUAGCGGCGGACGGGUGAGUAACACGUGGAUAACCUACCUAUAAGACUGGGAUAACUUCGGGAAACCGGAGCUAAUACCGGAUAAUAUAUUGAACCGCAUGGUUCAAUAGUGAAAGACGGUUUUGCUGUCACUUAUAGAUGGAUCCGCGCCGCAUUAGCUAGUUGGUAAGGUAACGGCUUACCAAGGCAACGAUGCGUAGCCGACCGGAGAGGGUGAUAGGCCACACUGGAACUGGGACCCGGUCCAGACCCCUACGGGAGGCAGCAGUAGGGAAUCUUCCGCAAAGGGCGAAAGCCUUACGGAGCAACGCCGCGUGAGUGAUGGAGGUCUUCGGAUCGUAAAACUCUGUUAUUAGGGAAGAACAAAUGUGUAAGUAACUAUGCACGUCUUGACGGUACCUAAUCAGAAAGCCACGGCUAACUACGUG